AUAAGUGUCCCAAAUUCAGGAGAGAGCAAAUGAUGAUGUCAUCAUGACAUCAUUAAUGUCAAUCUACCCAGGGAAGGCACGACUCCCGAGGUGGCAGCGGCGACAGCUGCAGUGACAAUGGCGGUGACUACAGUAGUAGCAGUUCGGGGCUCAAGGCACGUAGCCCAAGACUAUCGCGUGCGACAAACUAGGCCUAGUGCAUGCACAGUAAGUCUGCACACCCGAACAGCAUGUUGACACGCGCACAAGGUGAGGUCCGUACACGUGUAGGCUAUCCUAUGCCUGUCGUGUCACACAGGCGCACAUGGGAUCUGUGUGCGAGAUCCGCUCAUGUUGAGUUGCUCGCACUUGACGUGCGCAUCUGCGCGGGAUUCAUUUGUAGACAGGGCGCUGUACAGU
rnacentral:lncRNA from 1 species